AAUAUAUAAUGAGUGAGAAACCGUGUAGUGAACUUUUAAGGCUUUCCUGUGUGGCCACCACAGAUACACAGGGCCUGCUCUAGGCAUUUGAGAAAUUAUUGCCUCCUCAUACUCCUGAUUUGUAUCUUUCUCUUCAGCCUCACAUUUCUCAUCCUCUGCUGCUGUUUUCUGUGUCACAAGCUGAGAAAUCAGAUGCUCAAAUUUGGAAGAAGCCUCCAAUGGUUUGAUUUCAUAAGUGAAGUCAUCCAGCUGCAGCAUGCCACGCAGACCCCCAUAGCAGGUGUCCAGGGUGCCCAUGGACCCAGGAACCCCUUCGAUGUAGCUAAAGUAGUAGCAGUCUCGGGGGAUAUAAGGGUAGUUCUCCUGCAUGGCACCUUGGUCGUUAUCGGUGAUAACAGGAAAAUGUCUGGGCAGCAAGUUCUUCUUGACUCUCAAGUGAACCACGUGUCUUUGGCCGCUGAAGCGAAUCUUGUAGGAGAGCUGGCCUUGUCUCUCAAUUCCACUCACUCUGUGGGACACCUUCCUGGGAAUCACAAUUUCAGAAGAAGUGAAGCGCCAUCCUGGUGGGUCAUGGGAACAGCAGGUUGGAAACAGGAAUAGCCAGAGCAGAGGCAGCCAGAGAUCACCUCUCAGGUGGGCCUGGGUGCAGGCACACCCCAUGAGUGAGGAAGUGUGUGACCAAAGAAAAUGCACUGCGGUGGGAGGCAGGCAAGACUAUCCCUGGAGCAGCAACUUUUAGACAGCAGGCUAGUCCUGAGGAGAGCAGAGACAGACUGGAGGCUGGGCAGCCCCAGAGGUGGGGGAGGGAGGGGAAGCUCUUACAUAACAAUGUGUCCUCAUGAAGGGGAGGGGCUGUGCCAAGUGGUGCUAGGGGUCCUAACACAGGGGGGUUAGGGAAGACAAAACAUGGCAGAAAUGAGGAAAACAGAGUGCAUAUCUGGGCUGAGUGGUUCCAUGGUCCUUUGGAAAAGUCACAGGGGGAGAAUCAGGGGGUUUGGUGCAAAUUUGAGACAGUGAUUGACUUUUUGCCCUCAAACCAAAAUGAGACAAGGCUUCAAUUUGUAAUGAAAAUACGAAAUGGAGAAGAGAGUGGAAGCUUCUUUCAGUCAGACUUUUGAGGAGAGAAUCAAAUUCUUUCAUACUUUACAAACGUGGGAUGUGUUGGGGGUGAUGAGUGGAACAAAACAAUAGUGUCCUGAGUAGAAAUGUUAGGGUGGAUAAUAGUUCCUUAUAAAGUUAAAAUUAUGCCGGCCCUGUGUCUUGGUGAUUCUAGCCAUAGGAAGUUACCACAAUGAUUCUAUAUACAUAUUCAUAACAGCAUUAUGCUUGAAUUUAUUCCACAGACUGGAAACAAGCAAACAGUACUGGACAGAUGAAUGGCAGACACACGGGGCUAUUCAUUCAGUGGGAAAAUCCUCAGUAAAUCUGAACAAGUUUCUGGAAUCUCCAGCCGGAUUCACCACUUUGGUGGGGGGAGCCUUGGAAACUGCCCUCUGAAGACUCAGGCACUCCAGCAUCCUACGCCUCUGAACCACUUGAAGACCUUAAAUUCCUCUUCAAAAGGACCAAAGAUAAGUAACAAUCGAACUCUUUAAAUAAAUACAUGAUCAACUGCC